GGUCAAGUGAAUUAAGCGCACACGGUGGAUGCCUAGGCGAUAACAGGCGAUGAAGGACGUGGUAGUCUGCGAUAAGCUUCGGGGAAUCGGCAAACAGAUUUUGAUCCGGAGAUUUCCGAAUGGGGAAACCCACCUCUAUUAAGAGGUAUCUAUACCUGAAUAGAUAGGGUAUAGAGGCGAACUUAGGGAAUUGAAACAUCUAAGUACCUAAAGGAAAAGAAAUCAAUAGAGAGUUUGUUAGUAGCGGCGAGCGAAAGCGAAUCAGCCCAGUUACAUAAAAUAUAACAUUUUUAGCAGAAUAGUUUGGAAAAACUAGCAAUAUAGAGUGAUAGCCUCGUAUGUGAAAAAAAUGUUAUGUGGGUAACUAAAGAGUAGGGCGGGACACGUGUUAUCCUGUCUGAAGAAUCUUCUUUUGAAGAAAGGGGGGACCAUCCUCCAAGGCUAAAUACUCGUUAUCGACCGAUAGUGAACCAGUACCGUGAGGGAAAGGUGAAAAGAACCCCUGUUAGGGGAGUGAAAUAGAACCUGAAACCGUGUGCGUACAAGCAGUGGGAGCUUUGUUUAUUAGCAAAGUGACUGCGUACCUUUUGUAUAAUGGGUCAGCGACUUACUUCUCAGUGGCAAGCUUAACUGAAUAAGGGAGGCGUAGGGAAACCGAGUCUUAAUAGGGCGAUUCAGUCGCUGGGAGUAGACCCGAAACCGAGCGAUCUAUCCAUGGACAGGGUGAAGAUGGGGUAAUUCCUAUUGGAGGCCCGAACCCACCAGCGUUGAAAAGCUGGGGGAUGAUUUGUGGAUAGGAGUGAAAGGCUAAUCAAGCUCGGAGAUAGCUGGUUCUCCUCGAAAGCUAUUUAGGUAGCGCCUCGUGUUUCACUCUCGGGGGUAGAGCACUGUUACGGCUAGGGG
rnacentral:ncRNA from 1 species